CCGCCAAGCCCCGUGACUGGCCGAGGGGCGGGGCGGCGCGGCGCUCACCUCCGCUCGCCCCGCCCACCUCCGCUCCACUUGCUCCAGCCCGGCCAGGCCCGGAGCGCUCCGGGUAAACUGCCCGAAGCCUCCCCGAGAUCGCCCAUCUGGCUCACACUGGGAAAAGCAGGCUCUGGUCUCCAAUGGCUUCGCGAGCAAGCACUCCCUAGACAGUGUGUAGCACGCCCCCUGCCGGUGAGGUGACGAGAGGCGACCAAGGCUGCCACCCCGGGAAGGCUGCGGGCAGGGGUUGGGGUGCCGGAGACCCCCUCCUGGUGCCAGACCUUGAGGACACAAGCCCAACCUGAGGUGCUCCCAACAUGCUGUUUGUGUCAUCACCUCUUGCUCUAUGGCCAGUUUCUCAAGGUCACCCUUGGCAGGUGUCUGCAGAUGAGAAUGUUCGCAAGGCGAUAUGACUUGAGACGCUUGUGCCAAUAUGCCUUAGUGCACUAUAAAUUCCGAUUUUUUAAAAAUAAAAAGUCUGCAGUGA